GGUUUGGUCAGUCCUCCGGGAAAUCUGAUAGCUCAACUAUUAGGCUUUCGGGGAGUACUGCCAGACUUGGAACCGGGAGAGGUAAGAGGUACUACAGGGGUAGGAGUGAAAUCUUGUAAUCCCUGUGGGACCACCUGUGGCGAAGGCGUCUUACCAGAACGGGUUCGACGGUGAGGGACGAAAGGCUGGGGGCGACGAACCGGAUUACGAUACCCGGUAGUCCCAGCCGUAACGAUGCUCGCUAGGUGUCAGGCAUGGCGCGACCGUGUCUGGUGCCGCAGGGAAGCCGUGAAGCGAGCCACCUGGGAAGUACGGCCGUAAGGCUGGAAACUUAAAGGAAUUGGCGGGGGAGCACAACAACGGGUGGAGCCUGCGGUUUAAUUGGACUCAACGCCGGACAACUCACCGGGGGCGACAGCAAUAUGUAGGCCAAGCUGAAGACUUUGCCUGAAUCGCUGAGGGGUGGUGCAUGG
rnacentral:rRNA from 1 species